rnacentral:lncRNA from 10 species
CUCGGCUCACUGCUGAUACGGCUCCCAUGAGUGGAGGGACACCAGGGCUCUUGUCUUACCUUGAAUUAGGUAAAACAACACUGACACACGUGGAGUGGUUUUAAAGAGCGGAGAGUUUAAUAGGCAAGAAAGAAGGCAGAACUUAGAGGCUUCCCCUUACAGAGACAGAGGGAGGGGGGCUCCAAAGCCGAAAGAGGAGGGCCCCAAGUGUGGUGGACGCCAGCCAGGUAUACAUGCAGAGGCCGGAGGAGGCGAUCUGAUUUGCACAGGGCUUAGCGGAUUGGUUUGACCAGGCAUGUUUUAUUCACGUAGCAGGGAAAAAGCUGGCCCUCCCUUCCUAGCCUUUUAAUAUGCAAAUGCAGGGCGCUGUGACGUUCUACGCAUGUGGGGAUAUGUGGCGGACGUUGCCAGGAACAUGUGGGGCAAGGGCAAGAAGGCAGCAGUAACCGCCAUGUUUGGGAAAAGCUCCAGAAACUCCCCUAGCAAGGCUGGAUCUCUCCAAGCUUCAGAAAGAGGAAGACAACUGAACAGGCAGGGCUCGCAUCUUCUUUAGAGGCGGUGGAGUUGGGGGACAGCUGGUAACAGGAUAGAUAGCAACAACCACCUUGAAGAUAAUGCACGAAGUGUCGGCACUGCACAGUACAUGAAUGAUCUCACUUAACUCCCGUGCAAACCCUAUGCCAUGGCUGCUAUUAUCAUUCACGUUUACAGGAUGAGGAAACUAAUGCUCAUGCAGGGUGAAAGCCUCCCUUCCCUACAUCAU